rnacentral:rRNA from 1 species
CCGGAGCUUGCUCCGGUGAAAGUGGCGCACGGGUGAGUAACGCGUGGAUAAUCUGCCCUGGUAUYUGGGAUAACAUCUCGAAAGGGGUGCUAAUACCGGAUAAGCCUACGGACUCUUCGGAGUCUGCARGAAAAGGUGGCCUCUAUUUAUAAGCUUCCGUAUCAUGAUGGGUCCGCGUACCAUUAGCUAGUUGGUGGGGUAAUGGCCUACCAAGGCGACGAUGGUUAGCUGGUYUGAGAGGAUGAUCAGCCACACUGGAACUGAGACACGGUCCAGACUCCUACGGGAGGCAGCAGUGGGGAAUUUUGCGCAAUGGGGGAAACCCUGACGCAGCAACGCCGCGUGAGUGAUGAAGGCUUUCGGGUCGUAAAGCUCUGUCAGAGGGGAAGAAAUGAAACGUGCUAAUAUCACGUUUUCUUGACGGUACCCUCAAAGGAAGCACCGGCUAACUCCGUGCCAGCAGCCGCGGUAAUAC